CUGAGAGCUCUGAGUCCGCGCCGUCUUUGGAGGCCUCCUGCUACACCUGAGUCCUAGGGAUCAACUUAGCUCAUGUUUACAUGGCCACCACUUGACUGAGCUAUUUCUACUGCCGUUUCUCUUCCUUUUAGUGCUUCUUUUUGUAUCAUACUGUUCCACUGCCACCAAAAGGAAGAGUCAUUCUCCACUGGUUACUCCUCUGUCAAACUGGGAUGAAAGCAAUGGCAGUUCCUCUGUUAUUCCAGACAACAUCUGGAAUAUUACAUGGUGUGCACCAUUAUGCAAAAUAUGAAAAAACACUUGAGAAGAAUGUGCGUUAAGAUUAACCAAAGAAUGCAUGUAGGCUAAGUCAGCGGGACGGACUUCUUUAAAUAAAGACUCAGGCAUUGGUCAAAGGGUAAAAAGUAACUCUUCCUUUUGCCUGAUAUAUAGCAGAUACUCAGUAAAUAUAACUGUAAAAAAAA